rnacentral:misc_RNA from 1 species
UAUACAUAUAAAUUAUCAGCCAAAUUCUAAAACCUGUGCCUUUAGUAAUUUUCUAGCGAAGAUAUCCCAAAGUCAUAUUCUCAAUCAUAAAAUUCAUUCCAUUUAUCAGAAAAGAAUAAUGAGAAUGCUUUAUGCAACAGCAUUCCAGUUCAUUUGAUUGCAAUGAGAGCAACAUAGAAGUUAUGCAACUCAAAGAAUGCACACCAAGAUUCAAAUUGACAUUCCAAAG